rnacentral:rRNA from 1 species
AUGAACGCUGGCGGCGUGCCUAAUACAUGCACGUCGAGCGAACGGACGAGAAGCUUGCUUCUCUGAUGUUAGCGGCGGACGGGUGAGUAACACGUGGAUAACCUACCUAUAAGACUGGGAUAACUUCGGGAAACCGGAGCUAAUACCGGAUAAUAUUUUGAACCGCAUGGUUCAAAAGUGAAAGACGGUCUUGCUGUCACUUAUAGAUGGAUCCGCGCUGCAUUAGCUAGUUGGUAAGGUAACGGCUUACCAAGGCAACGAUGCAUAGCCGACCUGAGAGGGUGAUCGGCCACACUGGAACUGAGACACGGUCCAGACUCCUACGGGAGGCAGCUGUAGGGAAUCUUCCGCAAUGGGCGAAAGCCUGACGGAGCAACGCCGCGUGAGUGAUGAAGGUCUUCGGAUCGUAAAACUCUGUUAUUAGGGAAGAACAUAUGUGUAAGUAACUGUGCACAUCUUGACGGUACCUAAUCAGAAAGCCACGGCUAACUACG